AAUCUAGAAUUCACACAUGCUUUAGCCACACAUGCUUUAUUCGUUGGUCUGCAUCCUUAACCUGGUUAGUCUUUUCGCCAGCUUCAGCUUCUUUGUGCCUUCUUUCCCCUGGCCUCUGCAUUCAUUUGAUGGGGAACUGCUACCUAUGAAAGACCAGCACUAAACACUGUGCCUUUGAAUACUAAUUGCUGAGGAGCAAAGUAGGGAGAUUGCUGUUGCACAAAUAUCCUGCUAGCUUCCCAUAGGAAGUCCCGGGAUCAGUAAUCAUCAUCAUCAUCAUCAUCAUCAUCAUCAAUUAAAACUAUCUAGCAAAUACAGGCAACCCCCUAUUUAUGUGUCUUCAAUAUGUGCAUGACUAUGCAUAUGUGCAUCACACCAAACCCAGAAGUGACCCAAAAAGUCACAAAAACAUCUGAAAAGGGGGUGGAGUAGGGCAAAGGCAGGGAGUGGCAGGGGCAGAAUGGAGUGUUUGCAGAUAUUUUCAAUGGUGCUCGAAAUAUAUGCAAUUUCACUUAAACACAUGGUGCCUUGGAAGGUAACUCCUGUGUAAAUGGGGAGUUGCCUGUAGUUCAUUCUUCAGCAUAUAGAGGUAGUUGCUCAGUUCUUCGGAUCCUGGUCAUUUAUUUUAUUUCAUCCAGUUCAAACAAGCAUUCUCAUCAAGCAAGCUCCCACAAUGUACAGAUGGAGAAUGGAGACUGAAAACAACAUGUCAAGUCAUCCCAUUCUGCAAGAUUCAUGAUUUUGAGGCGUAUUUAAAUGAUCUAUGGUACAGCCGUAAUGUUUGGCAAGAUGAGCCACCUGUUGUUUGCUUUUAGCAUAUAUAAAAAGAAUUAAAAUGAAGGCAGGUAUUUAAUUUAUGUGCCCUGCUUUCUCUGGCUUUACUUUCACCAUGGGUCAUGUAAUAGGACCUGCAAUGUUAAGGCAUAAAAUAGCUCGUGAAAGGGUAACUAGUUACUACUCCUUGGUGAAAGGAGAUCUGAAAUGAAGUGUUGGCAGUUCCAUUGAAUCACAGGUCACCAGGGAGACUAUGGCUCAUGUUGCAUGUGCUUAUGCCAUAACAGAGCCAUACACAACACUCAAAGUUCAGCCAGGAGCUACAAACCAGGAGCAGGAGUUGCACCAGGGAUUCCAGAGGAAAGGGAACAAGCCAAUAGUCAGAGCUAAAGAAUGCAUGGAAACAUGUCAUAGAGGGGAAGACACUGUUGCUCCAAAAAGGUCCCAGCACAAACAUAUCAAUGUGUGUCCAAUUGCCAGCCUAGUUGUGUAGAGCUUAACAUGGUGAUCCAACCACCACCAUCCCAACAAGUCUGGGGGGUGGAUUAGGCAGAGGAGUACUUCUGCCCAACUCUCCUGGCUCAGCUGACCUCCUGGCAAAUGGAUGGCAGACCCACUGACCAGUUCCUCACUGGCAGGCGCAAGUAGAAAGGGUGUUAUGAGAGCCAGUGCAGGAUCCACUCGAUCCAAAGCUGGUCCCACUGUUGCUGCACAACAACAUCAGGCCUGGUUGUCCUGCCAUCCACGUGUGAAUGGCAGGGCUGCAGAUGCAGCGCUGGUUCCCUUAGACUACUAUACAGACAGGGAGAUGUGGCAGGCAGCAGUUUUGAUAUGGGCAACCAAACAUAAACACAACCAAAGACUUCCAACUUUGCAACCCUGACAACUCCCAAUAUAGCUUAUUGACUUUGCUUGGACUACCUGUUCCUGUUGGUUCUAUUAACCCAAGACCCACAGAUUGGAGCAUUGAGGAAUAAGGAAAAGGACUUUGCUCUAGCUGAGAUUCCUGCAUUGUAAGGGGGUUGGACUAGAUGACCCUUGGAGGUCCCUUUCAACUCUACAGUUCUAUGAUUUUAUGACUCAGUGAUAGAGAAGGCCCCAGGUUCAGUCCCUGACAUCUCCAUGUUUAAGUGGGAAGGACUCAAAAGCCAUUGUCAGUCUGUGUACGAAGCUAAUAAACCAGCAAUUUGGUAUGAGGCAGCUCCAUGUAUCUGAGCUGGAAAUAUUUUCCGUAUUCACUUUCAGUCAUUAUCCACUGCCCAGACAAGCCGGUAUGUUCUAUAAACCAGGUUCUAUAAAGCUACUUUAGGCUUAUGAAAGGCCUUGAGUUUAGUCACUAGGAUUCUUGGCUUCACCUUUUUCUUUAAACAACAACUACCCAAUCCUCGUUGCCACAUCACAAAGCUGUUUAGCAUGCAUCAAUGUGCUGUGAACUAGAUGAACAGAUCUUUGGAUCCUGGCUUUGAAUCUGACAAAUUUAUACGGGUCCAAAUAGGCAAUGAUAUGGCUGAUCUUACUGUACCAUUUAUUAGUCUGAGCAAUACUAAAUCUAGGCAGGAAAGAGACACAAGAAGAGAGAGAAAUGACCAAACAGCCAAGUACAGUAGAAUAGUUUUGUGUUUACGUGUUGUAUUUUGUACUUUCUUGCACCCUUGUAAUAAAUCCUAAGCUUCUGAUUAUUUUCAGUUUAUGUUAUAUGAUCCUUACUGGAAAUUUGAAGACUUACUCUAGACAUACUCUCCCCUCCCCUUUUGUGGGGGCUUAUUUACUACCCUUAGUAGUAGAAAAGUCCCAUUUCAAUCACGUUUGAAAUACCUCAUUUUAGACAAGUACGUGCUGCUCUGCUUACAAAACAUAUAUGAGUGGAAUAUGCAAUUACCACAACUCAGUUGCCUGCCACAGAAACAUUUCAGCAUUAUAGCAUUACAAAAAUAGAAUGACAUGCAUAAUGAAAGAUUUCAAGAUUCACCCAAGGCAUUUAUUCUCUUCACCUUAAUGUUCUCAGCAGAAGCAGAGUAUCCAUUAAAAGGUACUAUGAAUUAUGGUUGCCUAGCAACAGGAAAGAGCUUGUAACAGCACCACAGAAUGAAAUGGCUGGUUGAUAAAAUGAAUUUUCUCUGAGCAUUAGCCUGUUGAAACUGCCUUUUCUUGUGGAACAUAAAGUGCAUUUAUUUGUCUCAUGCAUUUUUUAUUAGAAAAUUAUUUGAGUUCCAGAGACUUGAAUCAUUUUGCUACAGGAGAUAUUUGAUUUUAAUGUGUUGUACUAAAAUAAGUGAUAAAAGACAUUUUCUUCAAAGUAAAGACACCGCACAAUUCUAGGUAGCUUCUUUGAAGUAAGAAAUAAAAUCUUAUAUCGGGCAUGCAAUUACUUAUUUCUAAUUAAGAGUGACAUUAAGUAGCAACAAAAGUAAACUUUUAGAUUUUUCUUUGAGGGACAAAGUUUGACAUAGUAGGCAAUAUGUGGUGAAUAAGGCAAACAGUUCUGUUGUAGGUUUGACAUGAGGAGAAUCAGAUUUUGCUUCGUUACAUGGUACAUCAGUCUCUAUAGAAGCCUGAAAUACAGAAACAGUUGUGACUAUUAUUCAUGUCUACAGUUUACUUUAAUGCUUAUUUUUAUCUUAAAUUUCCAUAAGUAUUGGAGAAAUGUGUGUUCGAGAGAGAGAGAUAGGCUUUGUUUUAGCUAUUACUAGUAAAUCAUAGCAUAUAAAAUAUGAACAGCUUUCUUUUAAGCAUUUUAUUAGGAUACAAGUAGCCAAUCUAGUGCCCCCCAUAUGUUGUUGAAUGUUGUGGUACAAUUCCCAGUCCCCAGUGGCCAGUAGGCAGGGAUGAGAGAGUUGUAGUUCAACAUCAUUGGCUGCACCUAUACUAGAUUAUAUGUAAGGAUAAUCUCUAAAUUAUAUUGUUUUCCCUUCCUGUAUCUGGUUUAUCUAACAUCUGUAGCAGUCAUGGCACAAACAGAAACUUUCUCUGUAAUAGCCAUAGAGUCAUCCUGUGUGUGGCAAGUGGGCAGUGCUGGCCUAGAAUAGGGAAAAAGUAUUCUUCCUGUGGUCCCUGGUUGGGAUUGAGUUUAUGCCUGUAUUAGGAGUCUAGCAGCCCUUAGCAAGUGGCAUAGGAAGUUACAAUAGCCUCAUGAGCUCCACCUUUUCUCCCUUUCCUUCCUUGACAAAGUUCAUAGAAUCACUAUAGGUACAGGGUCUAGACCUUGGAUUGCAAGCUAAUAAGCAUGGGUAGAGAAGCUACCAGCAUGAGUUUGACCAAACUGCGGGAGGUGGUGGAAGACAGGAGUGCCUGGCAUGCUCUGGUCCAUGGGGUCACGAAGAGUCGGACACGACUAAAUGACUAAACAACAACAGAGAAUACAGACUUUAGUUGCCAGUAAACAUUACAUUGUUUUCUUUCUUUCUUUCUUUCUUUCUUUCAUUUCUAUUAAGAAUUUUCAGUGUAAGAGACAAUAAAAGUCAAACUGGUCUAAAGAAGAUAAAUAGGAAAGAAGCAAGAAUUAGCAGAGAAUAAAGAAAAAGAAAGAGGAGAGUAUAAAGAAGAGAGAAUAAGCACUAGGCCUUUUGUCACAAUUAUAUCUUAAUCCUUAUUCCACACACAGAAAAGUGAAUCCUCCCAGCUCUCAUCUGUGAGCUUCCUCCUCUUCCUCCAGCUUCCCACCCUGGGAGAUCCUCUCUACCAUGCCUCUCACACAGGGCCCUUGAUCUUCCUGUGUGUAUCUUCGUUAAUCCACGAAAGCAAACUUCAAAAAAACAAAGCAUAAAUAUAGAGAGAAAGG